GACGAACGCUGGCGGCGUGCUUAACACAUGCAAGUCGAACGAAGUGGCGAACGGGUGAGUAACGCGUAAUCAACCUGCCCUUCAGGGGGGGACAACAGUUGGAAACGACUGCUAAUACCGCAUACUGAAGGAGGGGAUUGCGUCUGAUUAGCGAGUUGGAGGGGUAACGGGCGAACAAGGCGAUGCUCAGUAGCCGGUCUGAGAGGAUGAUCGGCAGCUUUGUGACUGAGACACGGCCCAGACUUCUACGGGAGUCAGCAGUUGGGAAACUUCCGCAAUGUACGAAAGUCUGACGAAGCAACGCCGCGUGAGUGAUGACGGCCUUCGGGUUGUAAAGCUCUGUUAAUCGGGACGCGGUACCGGAAUAGAAAGCCACGGCUAACUACGGGCCAGCAGCCGCGGUAAUUC
rnacentral:rRNA from 1 species